rnacentral:misc_RNA from 1 species
GCAGAAGGAUCAUUAGUGAAGAUUUGGGCAGGCCAUACGGACGCCAAAAAGUGUCCCUGGCCGCCUACACCCACUAUACAUCCACAAACCCGUGUGCACUGUCUUGGAGAAAGGCUUCAGAAAAGUUUUUUGUGGCCUCUCUUGGGGUCUUUCUUCGCUACAAACUCGAAUGGUUAGUAUGAACGUGGAACUUGGUUGGACCGUCACUGGCCAACAAACUAUACACAACUUUCGACAACGGAUCUCUUGGUUCUCCCA